GGGGUUGUAGCUUAGUGGUAGAGCACUUGCCUAGCAUGUAUGAGGCAUUGGGUUCAAUCCUCAGCACCACA
rnacentral:tRNA from 1 species